rnacentral:rRNA from 1 species
AUGAAUUGGCCUUGCAGGCUCCGGUUUCCCAAUAGGAACGAACACAAGCGAGCUAGGAAAAUGAUGGGCAUCCAGGACAUCCGCGAUAUUGUGUCAUCCCUGUUCAUCAUGCUGAAUAAGGAGACAUUCGUCCUGUUUCGGAUCGAGUUUCUCGUGGUCCUGGUCACAGUGUUGUUUCUUGUGAUGUUCAUCAUAGACGUCUUUCGCCGUCACAUCCGCAACAUAUUCAUGAAAACCAUGUUUAGCAUCCUGGAUGCUAUCUCGGACUCUAUUGUCUUAUACCUGUUGGGGGCCAUGCAAACAGCCAAGUUCAAGAAUCACCUGUUCCCGGCCUGGGCCCUCGUGCUUGUUAGUUUCCGUUACAAUGUCGACUUCAUCUCUGGCUAUGGUGUUCAUGACCGCCAUGGGCGACGGUACAUGGAGUGGAGAAACGUGGUGAAACUUCUGGGAUCGGCCUUCUUGAUCUUGUGGCGCGGCUCAAGGUUCACGGUUCCACUCUGGUCGCUUUUGGCCCUGCAGAUACUGAGGAGCUGGUACAGAUUCUGUGAGCAUGGUCUGGCGCUCCGUUCUAUCUGGCAUGGCACAAGUUCAGAGGUCAUUUCAGAGUAUAUGCGUGCUGGCCCUCACACUAGGAACUGGAAACCAGAGGACUGCAACCCAGAGAAUAUGGAAGGAUACAAAUACUUGGUCCUAGGAGAAACCAAUCAGGGAAUCAGACUCAAGAAGCCUCGGUAUGUCUUGUACAUCCAUACUGCCCAGUCCGUCAAGCAAGCUGAGCGUGGUUUUUCAUCACUGGUCACCCUAGACAAGAUCUGGGGAUGUCGCAGGAACCUAUUACACCCAGACAACAAAGAGGGGAAUGACCCAAAGGAUCUCUGUCUGGCCUUCGCCUUGUCCAGGCUGCUCCGUUGCAGGCUCGAGGAUGUGACACUGCAAGAAGAAAUCUUUUGCAUCAACCGGAAGCUGGUUAAGACCAAGAUCAUUGAGGAGCAAGACACCAACCGCGCCUUCAGGGUCAUGGAGCUGCAACUCUCCUUCGUAAAUGACUACUUCAACACCCACUACCCUAUGGUCUUCUGGAGUGGUUACUUAUCUCUAUUUUCAAAUCUGCUCCUCUCCGUGGUGACCUUCGGUGUUGUCUGCUGGCUUGCUGUGGACAUCCGUAAGGUCUAUAAGCCUCCGAAGGAUGAUCGGGCUCAUGUGGUGCAUGGGUUGAAUGUUGACAUGAUCAUCACCUGGGUAUUCAUGUUUUUUAUGCUGUUCAAAGAGAUCUGGGAGAUGGUCAGCUACUUGGUCUCAGACUGGACAAGAUUACUCCUUGUUUGCAGCUAUGCACAGUGGAAGGAAGAGCACACCAGAGAUAGACGUAUGGAGGGCACAAUAUCAUCCUUUUUCAAAUCAAGGAUAACUAGUAAGCACUGGCAUGGACUUAUUGACCAGUACGUCUUUUUGGAGUCAUAUGAUGACAUUCCAAGAUGUUGGAAUGUGAUGCACCAAAUAAGCACAGGAAUGGUUCCAAAGAAGGGUGAUGGAGCAAAACUCCGCAGCGCCAUCAGUGUGCCAGAAUGUAUCAAGCCGGCAAUACUGAAGAAGCUCCGUGCAAGCCUAGAGAAGCUCAACACUUCUAACAAUCUACAUCAGCCCGACAAUACCAACAGAAAUCAGGAGGAGCCCACCAUUAGGAGUGGUAUUCUUCUGCCCAAGGUCGUCAGGUCACUGUCCCAAAGGAAGCAGUACAAUUGGGCCUGCUUCGACCUGCCCACAUGCUCUCACGUAAUUCUGGUGUGGCACAUUGCAACCAGCCUCUGUGAGAUUAAAUUUGCUAGAGACCAUGGCGUCGACUUAAGCAAACAUGGGUUCCUGAGCUCCCUCUCAUCGUACUUCACGGGUUGCUGCUCAUCGAAACCAUAUCUUGUGGAUGUGGAUGUGGAUGAGAUGACAAAAGAAAAGAAAGUUAAUGGGAAGUUGCCCGAUAAGCUCAAGGAAAUGUAUGUCACUGCAAAUAGCUUGUCUCGGUACUGUGCAUAUCUGCUAGUUUCUAAGCCUGACCUGAUCCCUGACAGCUUUUAUGUACCCAACAUGGUCUUACAAGAAACCGUGACACGCGCUCGUGAUGAUAUUCUUAAAAAAUGUGACUCAUUGCAGAGUAGAUAUGACAAACUGAUGGAAGUAGCAGAGAAGGCCAUCCAAGAUGGUGACGACAUCUUGAAGGAAGAUGUUGUGCGACUAGGUGCAAAGCUGGGCAAGGAACUGAUUGAUCAAGAGAGUAAAGAAGAAUGCUGGGAGAUCCUCUCCGAGGUAUGGGCGGAGUUACUAGUGCACAUUGCCCCCACUUGGAACGCAGAGGCGCACAAGCAGUGCCUCGAGUCAGGAGGGGAAUUCAUAACCUAUAUCUGGGCAUUGCUAUGGCACUGUGGAAUCGAGAAGAGCAAAUUAUGGCCAGUAGAAGAUGUGUAUGGAAAUGAUGUUGAAAAUAUGUCCUAG